GAGUUCUCGUUGAUGAUCGGUGCUUGCACCGAGAUUCAACAUGGAACGAGUGGCGGACGGGUGAGUAACACGUGGGUAACCUGCCCUUAAGUGGGGGAUAACAUUUGGAAACAGAUGCUAAUACCGCAUAGAUCCAAGAACCGCAUGGUUCUUGGCUGAAAGAUGGCGUAAGCUAUCGCUUUUGGAUGGACCCGCGGCGUAUCAGCUAGUUGGUGAGGUAAUGGCUCACCAAGGCGAUGAUACGUAGCCGAACUGAGAGGUUGAUCGGCCACAUUGGGACUGAGACACGGCCCAAACUCCUACGGGAGGCAGCAGUAGGGAAUCUUCCACAAUGGACGCAAGUCUGAUGGAGCAACGCCGCGUGAGUGAAGAAGGCUUUCGGGUCGUAAAACUCUGUUGUUGGAGAAGAAUGGUCGGCAGAGUAACUGUUGUCGGCGUGACGGUAUCCAACCAGAAAGCCACGGCUAACUACGUGCCAGCAGCCGCGGUAAUACGUAGGUGGCAAGCGUUAUCCGGAUUUAUUGGGCGUAAAGCGAGCGCAGGCGGUUUUUUAAGUCUGAUGUGAAAGCCCUCGGCUUAACCGAGGAAGCGCAUCGGAAACUGGGAAACUUGAGUGCAGAAGAGGACAGUGGAACUCCAUGUGUAGCGGUGAAAUGCGUAGAUAUAUGGAAGAACACCAGUGGCGAAGGCGGCUGUCUGGUCUGUAACUGACGCUGAGGCUCGAAAGCAUGGGUAGCGAACAGGAUUAGAUACCCUGGUAGUCCAUGCCGUAAACGAUGAAUGC
rnacentral:rRNA from 1 species